rnacentral:piRNA from 1 species
UGCCUUUGAAGCCCAGCCUGGGAGUGU